UCUCAGGCAGGAGAUUUUCUUGCUUCAAAGGCUUUUAUUAAAAACCAGUGCAGGUAAAUGCUGACAAUAAGCAAGCAAACCUGUUGAGCCUCGAGUCCACAACUCGCCAGGCAACAGGAUGCUUCUCUGUGACAUUUAAGAGUGCUAACACCUGAAGAAAAUAUUGCAUGUUUUACCCUUUCUGCUUAAAAUAACAUGAAAAAGUGCUGCUCUUGCAAUUGCAUUAAGGGGCAUUUUCAGCAGGCUGUCCUCACCUCUGUCCCCAGGAUCUAAGGGCUCCUAGCUGCCUUUGAUUAAAGGAAACCUUCUCCAUUAGUGCCCUGGACAGGACUUUGAAAUACCCCAAAGCAGCUUUAUCUACCCCGAAAGCAGCUCCACGUUUAGGGUGGAAUUAGGGUGGGCUGAGGCAGGGCUCCUGGCAGGGUGUGCAUGCAGAGCACUUCCAGCCAAUGAGCUCCAGGGAGUUAAUUAGUGUGUUAUCCCAAUUACCUGUGGAGCAUGCUAUUACCCUCAGCUUUCUCUAGCUACAGCCACUUUUGGUGAGUGCUACUCCACAUUCCCUCAGAGCAGCUCCCUCCAGCUCCUUGGGCUACCCUGAGUUUGGAACCCCGUGCAGCUGAAAAGGGAAAAUCCCGUGCUCUGAAGUCCAGAACUCCAGGGCCUUCAGCAGAGUUGCUCCAGGAAUAAAUCUGACUCCCCAGUUUUCAUCCAGAAAUGUUGGUGCUGGAUGCAGACACAAAGGUGUUGGGGAGAGGAACCAGAACCUCCUGGGUUCAGGAUGAGUUUCCACCCGAAGCUGGGCUUACACUAAAGCUCCUCUGCAAUGUGAGAGGCUCACACAGCCAUAAAUGUAGGAUCUGACAUUGGAAGUAAAUAUCUUCAGACAGCUCCUUGCCAAAGUGGUAAAAUCCAUCCUCAGCAGAUGUGGCUGCCUGGCUUCUUUAGGAGCAAAAAAAUUCAAGAUGUCUCCUGUAAGGAGUUUGGGUAGACAGGAAAGCUGCUGGUCUAUGCAUAGGGGGAAUUAUCUGGGAUGUUUUAAGUGGAAAGAGUAAUGGCAUGAAACUGAGCUAAGGAAAACUUCAAGCCAUGGAAAAAAUAAUACAGGCUAGUGGUCUGUGGACUGGUCUCCUGAGAGAUCUAGGAAAGCCAUGCCAUGCUGGCCAGUGAAAACCACAGUGGGAAUAGACGAAAGAAAAAUAUUGUAGUUGUCAGCAGGAUGGACAAGGUGCCCUGUGGGAUUUUCAGAGUGAUUCAAGAGUACUUGUUUUCAUGUUUUGUUUCCUAAUUGGCCAAAACAUAUACAACAGACUCUCACAGGACUGUGCUGAGCCAAAACUCUUGCUGAAGUCAGAUGAAGAACUUUUGAGCCUGUGCUGUUGGAAAAUGUCCAUGGGUGAAAUUGUGGGAGGUACGACGUGUGAGAAAUUCCCACCAAAAUGCUCAUUUUGCUGUACAUCUUCCCUACAGGAGACACGUGUGUAAUUAGCAAUUGCUUCCAGUAAAUGGCUCUCUGAUCAUGAUGAAAAUCCAAUUUGGAGGAAAUUGUUGUAAAAAACACAAUUUAUGGCUGGGCCCUCAUGAUAAGAAGUGCCUGGCUGGUGGAGCACCUCUGAUUCCAACUGAGUGUUGUUGUGUAAAGGGUUGGCUUUGGGGAUUUUCUGCCCAAAACCAGCGUGGUGGGGGGAAGGAAGUGCCCUCUUAAACGUGGCUGAUCUUCCACUCUGUGGCAUUUCACUUUGGUGCACUGUGGCCACGUGGUGGUUGGAGGAUAUGACCCCUGAAGAAGCCUCUCGAAAGCAGCUCUCGUUCUGUUUUUCUUUUUCCUUGGUGUGAUUUUGUCUCGUGAUGCGCCGCCGACGUAAAGUCCUUAUUGUUAGGUGUCCCAUGGGGAACAUCCCUCUUCCCUCUCUCCAGCUGGAUUGUCUGGGCUUGGCAUAAUUGAGGAUGGAAAUCUUUCUCCCAUUUUUUGUGAGACUUUACUGCUUCUUCAGACCAACGCCAUCUCUCCAGUGUCCCUGUGCUGCACAGGAGGAGCCUGGCCUGCUGUGCUGCUCAUCAGACUCUUGUCCCACGUGUCACCAAGGGUGCCUGUCCUUGUCCUGCUCUCUCCAGGCCCUUGGUGGCUGCACUCACACACAGGAGCAGCUCAACACUCUGGUAAUUCUGGCAAAGAGGGGUUCUGGCCACCUUGGUGUUGAGUUUUAGCCCCUCAGGGCUAAAAUUGCCACGCUACUGAGUCUCCCAGAGUGAGAGGAAUAUGCUGAAAGUUCAUACUGUUUUACUACUACUUUUUUAUUAUUAUUAUUUUCAACAAGAUCAUUAUUCUGUGACCACAUCCCUACCUGGUGAAUCAAGUCUGCAGGCACAAUAGCUCCUUGCAGGCCAUUUCCCCCUUGGUUCCUUUUCUAAAUCAUAAAUAUUGAAGAUUGUGGAGGAAUUCUAUAAAGAAAGAGGUGCAUAUCUGAGCUCAUCAGGACAAUGCUAUGUUUAUAUAAACUGCUACUCGUGGUGAGGGGAUAUAUGACAAUUUUUUAUUGCUAGCAAAGGACAUAUUAUUCAAAUAUAUGUAGGGAAAAUAAAAUGAGCUCGAUAAAAUUGGGAUGCCCCUAGCAAUCAGAAUUUUACUUUGGCAUUUCAAUUAUUAUUAUUUUAUUCUGCUCACCUGCACCACAAUCAGUGCUGUACUCCUUUUGGAAGUGCCAAAAGUUCCUUAUUUUGUGCAGGUGGUGUGUCUGUGGUGGGUGAGGAGUUAUCCCAGCUUGGGGUGAGCUGCUUGGGAAUGUGCUGGGACAUCCCACCCCGCUGAUGGAUGGGCAGCCCUGUGCUGGGAUCUGGCUCCGUGGGGCUGCUGCUUCCCAGCUCUGCCUGCUGACCUCGGUGCUUUUAUCCAGAGUAACCACACGUGCAUUUAUCACACGACUUUAUGAACAGUGAAGGUUUAUUACGUUGCACUUAAACCUCGUUUAACCUUUUCUCAGGAAGCAAUGCUCUAAAGUGGGAUUGCAGGAGUUUGCAAAAUUCUGCGGGGGCUUCCCGGGCAGGGUGUGUACAGGCUCACCCCAAGAGAAAAUGCAGGUACAAACCCCACAUCUGUUGUCUUCAUCGUUCUGCUGUGAGAAAAAAUAUUGCAGCCUAGAAAAGAUUUAUGGGAAGACAUAACUUGGGAUUUUUUUUUAUUUUUUUAAUUUCCAAAUGAAUGAUUGGCUUAGAAAUAUGCGUCUCUCCCUCUUGAAUGGUGGCACUUGCAGCCCCAGUAUCUCUCUGUGCAGGUGGCCUUGGGGCAGUCCUCAGGCCCAAAGACCUCCUGUGAGCUGUCACACUGCUCAAAAGCUCCAGUCCUGCAGGGAAAAGGGAGAAAUAGAAAGCUGGAGCUGAGCACUACAGAGAGCUGCCUGGCAGGAGCAGUGCCCCAGGGGAGCAGAUGCAAAUCCGGCCACUUGGGAUGGUAGAAACUGGAGUGAAUGAGGUUCCAGCCUAAAGAUAGCAGGGAAGCAUCCUUCACAGGUGAGGAAGGGGCUUGGGAGACUCCCAGGUUGGGUAGUUUUUUUUCCAAGUGUACUUUCAGUGAUUUACAUUUCUAUUCUGGAUCAGCCUUUAGCUUGUAAAAUGUUUGUGUCGUUUGGAAGUGGAAAAACACGAUGGAAAAAAUGUGAGGGGUGAUCAACUGCACUUAGUGAAACUACAAAAAUCUUAAUUCUGGCAGAAGAAAAAAACCCUUCACUUUUGGUUUCUACAGAGCCAAAAAACUUUAUAAAAUUAGCUUUGAUCACCUCACACCUGAUGUCCCCUCCACCUCCUUGGACAUCUUCUCUCAUAGGAGUUGUAAACACAAAAGUUCCUGACCAUUGUCAAUGAAGACAUUUCUUAGCAAGCCAGAGCCCACGAAAGAAGCAGCCAAAAAUAAACACAUCUUCCAAGUGGGUGGCAAAUGUUGUCAGAGGUUGAUAGGAAUUUUCUGUAGGUCUGGGAGUGAGUAGAGGAGUUGUAGGAAUUGUAUUGAAGGUGCUUGAGCCAGAGAGUGCAGCUUGCAAGGCAACCUGACGAUGGCAUCAAUAAUUUACCUCGUGGUAUGACUGAGAUGGGUUGAGUCUUCCCAAAUCAACCUAGAGGUAAGCAAGAAUGUGCCAUAACAGUGCGUUUUGAACCACAGGAUAGAGGCUUAAUUGAUUUGCUCUUUAUUCUUUGCAAAAGACAGCUGAAUGUCAAAGGUCUUUCUUUUGUGAAGUAGUGGAAAACCCGUUGUCAAACAACCUCUACUCAUUUAAUAAUUUAUCCCAUUUUGUAAAAGAAAGGCAGCUGACACGCACUAAAUCUAGUCCAUGUUUAAAUUACUGCAUUGAACAAUAAUAAGAGGAAUGAAUAAUCUAGUACAUCUAUUUAAAAUUAAACAUAUAUGAAACUGUUUUUCCAAAUGAUCACCAAGGGCUAUAGUUUAAAGGCAGGACAGAAGCCACGAACAGAAUGAAAAUGCCGAGCAGUAGUUUGCAAGUGGCAGCAGAAUUAUUUAUUCUAUUUUUUCUAUACAUAAGGAAUAGAGCUAAAUGAACAAUGUUUAAGCAUGUCAGAAUUUCAUCAAUUUUGCAUGAGCAUUCACAAAUAUCCUGGUGGGGGUAAUUGCUUGCAAAUACAUUUAAACUAAUGAUAUGUUAUGUCCUUACUUGAUAUAAAACUAUUAAAAGAUACGUUAUUGCAUUUGACAAUGCCAUGAAGCUGGGUCAAAGCUUAAUGACAGAUUUCUGCUUUCGUAAAUUAAGAUAUACUCUGCUGGAAGCAAAUAUUUUGUAAAAAUAAAAGCCAUCUACUAUGAAAGUUUGAUCAUUGAUCUAAGGUUGCUUUUUGGUUUCUCCAACCACUGGGCUUGCAAAAGGGGAGGAAAGGGAGAUUCCAUUGCAGAGGCAGCUCUGGAAGUCCCAGUGUGGAUCUUGCACAUGCAACAGGAGUAAGGAGGCUUGUCUGAGACACCCAGUGGUUUUAACAGUCCCACUAGAGACUUGCAGUGAAGCUGGUGCACCAGCUGGUGAGGGUGCUUGGUUCUCCUGUGGGAAGAGCAAGAGAGUUUAUUCUACCUGAAGUUGAAUGUGCUGGGGAGCCUUUUUAGCUUGAAAUUCAGGAAAUGGGUACUGAUGGUGUCAAAAGACUCUGAGGAAGCCUGGUAGGCUGAGGUUGGUGUGAAGAGUUUAAGGUCUGGCCAUUGCUCAGAUCCCUGUCUGAGGUAUCCCUGGCUGGUUCAGUGUGGCAGGAGUGUGCCAUGGAGCAGCUCUGUGGGCAUCAGCUCUUAAGUUGUGACACUGUGCUGGUGAGCAAUUUCAGUUAUUUACUGAAGGUUCUAUUAAAUAUGAAGCAUUUAGAAAAUUAACUGUCCCCAGGUUGCAGCCAGGCUGCUUCCACCAGGCAGUAGAAAGGUUUUGGGGCAGUGCAGGUGCCUGGGAAAUACUGUGUUUUGUCCUAGGAGAAGCCAUGGGGAGCCCAAGAAUUGUAAAAGAGAGGGACACUGAUCAACUUUUACUAAUGGUUUCUGGAUGAUGUGAAUUUUGUGGUGAUGUGAGGCUCUGUAUCCAUAACAGCAAAGGAAGUAUUCCUUGUGGAGGGCAAUGCAUCCCACAGAGAUGCAGCCGCCCUCUGCCCGGCAGCAAGAGGAGAGGCACCAGGAAUGAUGUAAACUCACAUUUGCCCCAUCCAAAAGGCCACCUCAGACUGUUGUGAUGGGUGUGGGAUGGAUCCUGGAUGGGUCCUGGCCUGUGCUGGGGCAUCUGGAGGGGGUUUGAGCUGCUGCUUGGGGAUGUUUUAUGGUUUUUGCCGCAGCUGGCGGUCUCUGCUGUGUGGCAAUCCUGAAAUAUCCCUUCCCGUCACCUCUCACGCUCCCUUCUACUCUGAAUUGCUCUGAUUCCCAACAUCACCAAGGAUUAUUAUAACCUCCCCUCACAAGGUACCAUAAAUUUUAUUAUAAAGCACGAAUUCUUGGGCUCCCCAGCCCCAUCUUGCAGGGAGACAGUGCGCUGUAGUUCUUCCGCUCGCGGUAAUGUGAGCGGAGAGCUAAUGAAGAUCUUUAUGUAAAUUUUCCAGCUAUCAGGUGAGAUCUUCACAUCGAAAUCUGUCACAUGUUAUAAAAA